rnacentral:rRNA from 1 species
GCUAGCGUUGCUCGGAAUUACUGGGCGUAAAGGGAGCGUAGGCGGACUGUUAAGUUAGAGGUGAAAGCCCAGGGCUCAACCUUGGAAUUGCCUUUGAUACUGGCAGUCUUGAGUACGGAAGAGGUAUGUGGAACUCCGAGUGUAGAGGUGAAAUUCGUAGAUAUUCGGAAGAACACCAGUGGCGAAGGCGACAUACUGGUCCGUUACUGACGCUGAGGCUCGAAAGCGUGGGGAGCAAACAGG